GUAGGUGGCAAGCGUUGUCCGGAAUUAUUGGGCGUAAAGCGCGCGCAGGCGGUCCUUUAAGUCUGAUGUGAAAGCCCACGGCUCAACCGUGGAGGGUCAUUGGAAACUGGGGGACUUGAGUACAGAAGGGGAAAGCGGAAUUCCAAGUGUAGCGGUGAAAUGCGUAGAGAUUUGGAGGAACACCAGUGGCGAAGGCGGCUUUCUGGUCUGUAACUGACGCUGAGGCGCGAAAGCGUGGGGAGCAAACAGGAUUAGAUACCCUGGUAGUCCACGCCGUAAACGAUGAGUGCUAAGUGUUAGGGGGUUUCCCGCCCCCCUUAGUGCUGCAGCUAACGCAUUAAGCACUCCGCCUGGGGAGUACGGCCGCAAGGCUG
rnacentral:rRNA from 1 species